AGCCGAAACCGCCGGGAAUGGCGGUCUUGCGGGGAUGGCCGCCUGUGACCGAUGAUGGCAGGCCGAA
rnacentral:hammerhead_ribozyme from 2 species